rnacentral:rRNA from 1 species
AAAGAAACUAACAAGGAUUCCCCUAGUAACGGCGAGUGAAGAGGGAAGAGCUCAAAUUUUAANUCUGCCUUGUUCCAAGGUCGAGUUGUAAUUUGAAGAAGCGUUUUCUUGGGCUCGCGGCCGGUAGAAGUUCUUUGGAACAGGACAUCAUAGAGGGUGACAAUCCCGUCCGUGACCGGUCGUGCGUUCAUMUACGAUACGCUUUCAAAGAGUCGAGUUGUUUGGGAUUGCAGCUCCAAACGGGUGGUAAACAUCACCUAAGGCUAAAUAUUGGCGAGAGACCGAUAGCGAACAAGUACCGUGAGGGAAAGAUGAAAAGAACUUUGAAAAGAGAGUUAAACAGUACGUGAAAUUGUUGAAAGGGAAACGAUUGAAGUCAGUCGUGCUGGCGCGAAAUCAACCCUCUCGUCUUGAGAUCACAUGGCGCGACGAGCCUCAAAACCGUCACGAAGCGUGAACUCUUGACGAAAAGGUGCACUUUCGUGUCCGCUGGUUAACAUCAAUUUCGAACGUCAUAAAAAGGCUGGAGGGAUGUGGCUCCUUCGGGAGUGUUAUAACCUUUAGCGGAAUGUGGCGUUCGGGAUUGAGGAUUGCAACGAAUACCUUCAGGGCUGUUCCACCUGGCUUCUCAUUGGUAUCCUGGUGACGACAGCUUGCUGACGUCGUUAGGAUCAGCUUCUGAACAGGCUAGAGUGUGAGCAAAUUCGUUAAGGAUGUUAACGUAAUGGCUUUAAACGACCCGUCUUG